UCACCGGCCCGGCUUAACGGUGCAACGGCCGGCCUGGGCCUGCAACUGUGGGGUCCCGGCCGGGCUGGAGCGGCCGCCGGAGAGACCUGGGUCUCGCCGUCACCCAUGCUGGAGUGCUGUGACGUGAUCUUGGCUCACUGCAACCUCUGCCUCCUGAGCUCAAGAACACACUGAUGGAAUCAGUCGCCGCCCUUACCUUUACGCACAGGAAAAAAUCGCCGCCGCUCUGUUCCCUGCAUCGCAGAGUCAGAAUGAGACAGCCGACUAAUGCCACUAAGAGUCACCAGGCGACGACACCACAGCCCUCCUCACGCCUUAAGGAGGUGAUGCUGGACAGCUGCCAGCCUCCCCAGGUGAAAACGAAGCUUUUUUUCCAACCCACCUAUAUGGGGCUUGUGCACGGUGGCCGAAAUUAACCCUCCUUGGUACCGUGUUAACAGUAUGGUUUAAAAGCUUGAGCUGUGCUUCUGCAUUAAGGAGUUGAACGACCCAAAUAAAGUUAUCUAACCUC